GGGUUGAGCAUGAAUAUGAGGAUGGGGAAAACAGGGAAAUGAACAUUUCCCUGGAGCCUCUUCACAGCAUUGUGGUAAGAUUUAUGACAAACACGUAACUCUGAAUCACUGCCACUAAGCCUGGAUAAUCACGCUGACCUUUCACAGUUCAAUAGCUGGCAGAACGCCCACCUUCGCCUGACUUUACUGCAGCACAUAAGCCUCUGACAUCAAGAUGCCGUUUUCCUGUCUAAAGCCAGAUGCUGCUUUGUUCCUCCUCGGUUCACUCGGCGUACCUGUAACGCCAACUCCUGGAUGUGUCGGAACAGCUCGAUAUCCUUCUCCGUCAGGUUCUCGUGGCCGGGGAGUUUGUCGUCGUCUUCCCGCCAGUCGCUGCCAUCCUGAUUGUCUGGACAUCAAAGGAAAUGAAGGCAAAGCUGAUGAACGGGAGGUCGGUUUAAGCUAACCAUGUUUGGCCAAUGCUAGCUUAAAAUGAUUAUCCAGAAACUGCAGAAUUUAAAACACAUUCUUUUGUCCUGUUUUGCGUUUCUUCUGCCAAUUUUGCUCAUUUGGAAAUCAAAAUGUUCUCUUGCUUCAUUUAAAAGGAUUAGCAAAAAGAAGUUUGAAUAAAACAAACAAUGCUGA